GGCAAGAUGGCAGUAUUGGCGUUAUGAUAGGUCAGAUCACCUGUCAAUCAAGCUCACUGUGAACGUUCAAUGACAUUUUAACAUGUAUUCACAAAGAAAACAUCUCAUAAUGUUUCACUUCUGUUAAAUGUGAUGAAAUAAAUCAUCUUUUGUGUGAAAUAUGAACAGCUAUGCUAAUCUUUCUCCUUUUGUUUUCCUGUUUCUCCAGCCUCGUGUGUGGAGACUUCAGAAGAUGCCAGACCUCACAAAGAUUUCAGAUGAUGGAAACUAGAUGAACAUGCAAAGCUGCUAAAUAAUCCUUAUAUUGUAAUCAUUGCCCUAAAAGGGAGGAACUUGUCAGUAAAUCUACUUCACAGCACAUCAGUGAAAGCAGUUGACAGUUACAGACGGGUGUGUUGGAUCAGGGUCAGAUCUGAAUUCUGAUGGUUUCCUGUGAUGACCGUUGAAGAGAUCAGCACAUCAGAUGUUGGCCUGGACAGCUGUACCUACAGUAAACCACACUGACUUCUUUGCAUGGAUAGCUGACUACUACUAUUAUGUUCUGUGAAGGUAUUAUUAUAGCAAACCUGAGCACCUGUGACAGUGGAAAUGUUGUAAUGAAUAGUCACACAUGCAUAUUUGUACAAGUCACAGAUAAAUUUUUUUAGUACUAACAAUAUAU